rnacentral:lncRNA from 1 species
ACUAAUGCUCUUGGUGUUUUUCCAUUUUUUUUCUCAUUUUUCCUAAUUACAGGGGAGGUAUGCAACAGCGAUCAUCCUGCUGUCAUAUCUGGCCGUUGAAUCCAUAGACCCAUAAAGACCGGACAAAAGCCCAGUCAUUUUUCCGAGCAGUUGAUUAAUUGUUCAUACACAAAUUAAUUGUCCAUACAUAGAAAAUAAAUUUAAUAAUUCACUACUUCAUUACAUUCUACCCUCCAAGCAAGAGCAAGAUUGGUGGCCAGCUCAUCGUGAAAAAUAUCCAUUGUAGUGACACUGCCUUCUGAAGUAGAUCCAUCCGAUGGAACCACAAAUCGAUUGUACCGUUGCGGUAUUGUAGGGACAAAAUUAGGAUCACGAUCAAACCGAGUAAAGUCUGAAUCCUCACUAU